AAAGUGAGCAACCAAGCAAGAAAGUAAAGUUCUCUGUUGGUGAAAAAGUUUGGGCAUUGUAUAAGGAUGGACAUUCCUACAAGGCCAGGAUUAUAAGGAUUAACAAAAAUUCCUACAGAGUGAAGUAUAUUCAAGAUGGAGUGGUCCAUGAUGUGGAUGGUGAAGGACUCGUUACUUAUGGUUGAAUUACCUGAAUUACCAGAAAUUUUCAUCUUAUGAACACAAUAGAGAUGUUAGAUCUUUAUCAAACUUGCACUUGUAUCAAUCCUUACGAGAACCAGUCAGAUUCCAUAUUACAAAAUCCUAUGAACUGAUUUUAUGUCAAAUUAACUCCCUCUGUUUCAAAUUAAAAUAGGUAUGUCCCAGUAACUAAUGAAGAUGCUGAUUUGAAAACUAUCAGGGGAGAAUAAUUAACUAUUACAAAUAACCUCACUUUAUUUUUAUGUUUUAUAUAUAUUGCAUGCAUGACCAUCUUGUUUUUCUGUGCUAGCAUCUUUUAUACUUUGUAAUACCAUUUUGUAAUUUCAUCCAGUUUUGUGAGGCAUAGUUUUAUUUGAUUUUUGAACUGGUUGUGACUUUGGGUAGAUUGACGGGGGCAGUCUGUCGCGUCCAUAAUUACCUCCCUUUGUUUCAAAUUAAAAUACUAGGUUUAUUUCAGUAAGUAAUAAAGAUGUUUUGAAAUUUGAUUUAUACCCUGGGAUGGACUCUGACAAUCAGGGUACAUAACUAUGGACUAAUUUUUGUCAGAUUACCUCCCUUUGUUUCAAAUUAAAAUGGAUAUAUCUCAGUAGCUAAUGAAGAUACUGAUGUGGAAAUUCAUUAAUGAUGAAAGAUGGGCUCAGACAAUCAGGAAAGAUAACUGUUGACAAAUUACCUCCCUUUAUUUUUAUAUUGCAUAUAUUGCAUGGCCCUCUUGUUUACUGACCUAGCUUCAUAACUACUUUGUAAUACCAUUUUAUGACUUUAUCCAGUUCAUGAAAUUCAUCCAUUUGACUUGGUUUUUAAUAUAAAGAUGAACAGGAUUUAAAUUGUAUGCAUUUAUCCUGUCAUGUAUUGUCAUUUUAUUAAAAAUAUGAUAUAAUUGGUAUCAUGCUCUUGGUUUAAUUAUUGAACUGAUCAGUUUAAGUCGUGUGGCCCCUGAAAGUUUUAAUAUCCCCGCCGAUGAAAUUGGGAGAGGGGUAUUGAAAUGGCAUUGUUUGUCCGUCAGUCAGUCGGUCCGUCCGUCCGCAGCCAUUUCUCAGUAAACUAGAAGGUAGAAUUUCAGGAAACUUAAAUUAAACAUGAACCAACAUACUACGAUGAUGCCCAUCAAGGUUUUUAUCGGAUUGGUCAAUUUCCCUUAGAGUUUUUGCCGUUGAUUUAAUGAAAAAUCCACGUCUGCAGCCAUUUCUCAGUAACAAGCUGGUAGAAUUUCAUAAAACUAGAAAUAAAUAUAAAACAUACUUCGAUGAUGCCUGUCUUUUUUUUCAAUUGGUCAAAUUUCCAUAGAGUUAUUGCCCUUUAAUUGAAUGUUUAAAAAUCUACAGAUUUGUACAUAACAAACCAACCCAUUGGUAGAAUUUCAUUAAACUUCUUUCAUUCUUUUCCAUGAACAUUUAGUAUAAACAUCUGAAGUUUUGUACCCACACCUGGCCACCACCUUACCUUGAUCACAUCCCCUCCCCCUGCCCCUCCCAUCCACCCUCAAAUUAUUUUUUUUUUAUUAUUUUAUUUUCAAACGUUCCAUGAAUAUUUAUUAGCAUGCAAAUUUGUACUGUUCGCCAACCUCACUCUUGGUCUUGCCCAGCACCCCGAUAAUGCAUCAACAUCCCCCACCCUUUUUUUAAACUUUUGUGAUCACCCUUCGUCCGUCUCGGACCGUCCGUCCGUGUGUGCGUCCGUCAACAAUUUCUUGUCUGCACGAUAGUGGUUUCAUUUAUGAUUUUAUUUUAACCAAACUUGCACACAACUUGUAUCACCAUAAGAUCUCGGUUCCUUUCUUGAACUGGCCAGAUCCCGUUAUGGGUUCCAGAGCUAUGGCCCCUGAAAGGGCCAAUAUUAGCUAUUUUGACCUUGUCUGCACAAUAGCAGCUUUAUUUAUGAUUUGAUUUUAACCAAACUGGCACACAACUUGUAUCACCAUAAGAUCUUGGAUCCUUUCUUGAACUGGCCAGAUUCCUUUAUGGGUUCCAGAGUUAUGGCCCCUGAAAGGACCAGAAUUAGCUAUUUUGACCUUGUCUGCACAGUAGCAGCUUCAUUUAUGAUUUGAUUUUAACCAAACUUGCACACAACUUGUAUCACUAUAGGAUCUUGGUUCCUUUCUUGAACAGGCGAGAUUCCAUUAUGGGUUCCAGAGUUAUGGCCCCUGAAAGGGCCAGAAUUAGCUAUUUUGACCUUGUCUGCACAAUAGCAGCUUCAUUUAUGAUUUGAAUUUAAUCAAACUUGCACAAAACUUGUGUCACCAUAAGAUCUUGAUUCCUUAGUUGAACCGGCCAGAUCCCGUUAUGGGUUCCAGAGUUAUGACCCCUAAAAGGGCCAAAAUUAGCUAUUUUGACCUUGUCUGCACAAUAGCAGCUUCAUUUAUGAUUUGAAUUUAAUCAAACUUGCACAAAACUUGUAUCACCACAAGAUCUUGGUUCCUUUCUUGAACUGGCCAGAUUUCAUCAUGGGUUCCAGAGUUAUGGCCCCUUAAAGGUCCAAAAUUGUCUAUUUUGGCUUUUGCAGCCAUGUAGAGACUUCAUUUAUGGUUUUAUUUGAUACAAACUUGCAAAAUAACUUCACAACAACAAAAAUUCUUGGAUUCCAUGACAAAUCAGAUCCAAGCGUAGGUUCAGAGUUAUUUUAUAUCUGAUUACCUCUCCUGAUUGUAAUCAAAAUGGAUUUAUAUCAGUAGGUACUUAUAGGACUUAUUUGAAAUUUCAUUAUUGUCAUUAGUUGGACUGAGCCAAUUAGGGUAGAUAACUAUGGAUUUAUUUUAUGUCAAAUUACCUCCCUUUAUUUCAAAUUAAAAUGGGUAUAUCUCCAUAACUAAUGAAGAUACUGAUCUGAAAUUUCAUUUAUGUCAACAGAUUUAUUUGGCAGAUCCUUCUUUUGUUCACUUACAAUACUUUUCUUUUUAAUUACUUCCCUCUUACGUUGCUAUAAAUAGCUUAUUUUUAGUAACUUUUUAUAUUAUUAGCCAUAGGGAAAAACUGAGACCACUUUUCUGUGAUACAACAUGGAUGGUACCUGUAUAUUUACAAAUCACUAUUUUAUUAUUUUUUUUAUACAUUAAUAGAAAAUAAGUGUUGUUUGUAAAUGUAUGAAGUUCAUUUUAUUUGUAAAUUAAAAAUAUUUUUUUAAAUCUGAAAUCAUUAAUCUAUUCAGCACCUGAAUAACUUCAUAUCACAUUCUUGAUAUUUCGUUUCGCAUCAAGAUUGUGUAACUGACAGUUGCUGAUAAUUUUAAGUAAUAAACAGAUUUUAUUUGUCUACCAAUGUGAUUGCUUUAAAACUUAAUUCCUGACAUAAAGGUAUAUGUUCUUAUUUCAUAUAAGUAACCUCCCCUGACUUUAUUCAAUCAAAGCCUUGAAAUGUCUGAUGGUUGCGGGUUUUUUGGUAGAUUUAUUUUCUGUUUUUUCAUUGUUUCAAUUCAAGUCACUGUGUUUUUAGCUCUACUAUUCUAUGAAUAGUCGACUCGCCCAUGCGUCCACAAUGGUGUCCGCGUCCCGAUUUGGUUUAGGUUUUGUAUGUAAGCUGGUAUUUCAGUAACCGCUUGUGGGAAUGGAUUGAAACUUCACACACUUAUGCACUGUGAUAAACUGACUUGCAUUGCACAGGUUCCAUAACUCUAUUUUGCUUUUUUACAAAAUUAUGCCCCUUUUUCGACUUAAUUUUUGGUUAAGGUUUUGUUUGUAAGCUGUUAUCUCAGUACUUACUAAUGGGAAUGGAUUGAAACUUCACAUACUUGUUCACUGUCAUGAUCUGACAUGCACUCAAAGCAAGUCCCAUAACUCUACUCUUUUUUUUUUUCAAAACUAUGCCCCUUUUUCAACUUAGCAGUUUUUUGUUAAAUCUUUGUAUGUAAUCUCAGUAUCCACUAAUGGAAUGGAUUGAAACUUCAC